rnacentral:tRNA from 1 species
GCGUCCUUAGCUCAGCUGGAUAGAGUACCUGGCUACGAACCAGGCGGUCGGAGGUUCGAAUCGGGCUCCCCGGGGGGGCGGAGGUUCGAAUCCUCCAGGACGCGCCA